rnacentral:lncRNA from 1 species
AUGGUUUACAUGUCUUGUGAUAUUUUUCUUUUUCUUGCAGAUCAUACAUAUAAUUUCCUGUGCGGCUCUCAGUAUCUCCAAGACCUAGGAUGCUCCUUGAGAGUGUAUUCCUGCUUAUGUAAACGAGAGCUUUCUAGAAGAGAUAAUGGUUAUGAACACUGGCCCUUAACCAAGAAACAGAAGUUGAAUGAACUGCGGGAAGAUAAACUUCACUUUGCUGUGAUUUCAGAACUGAUAUCAGCAGGCAGUUGUCUAAAAACUAUAUUUGUUUUCCUAAUCUGCUACUUUUCACGACAAUUAUAUUUGUACCGUCCGUCCUCUUAGGCCUCAGGAUUCAACAGCUUCCUGUGCAGGAAGACUCCACCAUCCUCCGUUUUGAACACGAGCGUUUCCACGCAGCACCAUGAGCUGGUAAGGGCAGGCGUGAGUUCUGUCUUCCAAACAGAAGAUAUUUGAGUCUUUCGUAAAAUAUGACUUUGAGUGAAGCAGAGAAGGGCCUUUGAGUAUUCCAAAAACAGUUUUCUUAGUCUAGAACAAGUUCCUAGUCCUCCUCUCC